rnacentral:rRNA from 1 species
GAGUAAUGCUUANGAAUUUGCCCAGUCGAGGGGGAUAACUAUUGGAAACGAUAGCUAAUACCGCAUACGCCCUACGGGGGAAAAGAGGGGACCUUCGGGCCUUCUGCGAUUGGAUAAGCCUAAGUGAGAUUAGCUAGUUGGUGAGGUAAUGGCUCACCAAGGCGACGAUCUCUAGCUGGUCUGAGAGGAUGAUCAGCCACACUGGAACUGAGACACGGUCCAGACUCCUACGGGAGGCAGCAGUGGGGAAUAUUGCACAAUGGGCGCAAGCCUGAUGCAGCCAUGCCGCGUGUAUGAAGAAGGCCUUCGGGUUGUAAAGUACUUUCAGCAGUGAGGAAGGUUCAUGCGUUAAUAGCGUAUGGAUUUGACGUUAGCUGCAGAAGAAGCACCGGCUAACUCCGUGCCAGCAGCCGCGGUAAUACGGAGGGUGCGAGCGUUAAUCGGAAUUACUGGGCGUAAAGCGCAUGCAGGUGGUUUGUUAAGUCANAUGUGAAAGCCCCAGGCUCAACCUGGGGAAGGUCAUUUGAAACUGGCAAGCUAGAGUACUGUANAGGGGGGUANAAUUUNCAGGUGNANCGGNGAAAUGCGU